rnacentral:misc_RNA from 1 species
GAUGAAGAACGUAGCAAAAUGCGAUAAGUAAUGUGAAUUGCAGAAUUCAGUGAAUCAUCGAAUCUUUGAACGCACAUUGCGCCCGCUGGUAUUCCGGCGGGCAUGCCUGUUCGAGCGUCAUUUCAACCCUCAAGCCCCCGGGUUUGGUGUUGGGGAUCGGCUCUGCCCUUCUGGGCGGUGCCGCCCCCGAAAUACAUUGGCGGUCUCGCUGCAGCCUCCAUUGCGUAGUAGCUAACACCUCGCAACUGGAACGCGGCGCGGCCAUGCCGUAAAACCCCAACUUCUGAAUGUUGACCUCGGAUCAGGUAGGAAUACCCGCUGAACUUAAGCAUAUCAAUGCGGAGGA